rnacentral:tRNA from 1 species
GCCCAGGUGGUGGAAUUUGGUAGACACGAGGGACUUAAGCUCCCUUGGUCAUUAGACUGUGCGGGUUCAAGUCCCGCUCUGGGCACCA